GUUUUAGUUAGCUUAGUUAGUAGUGCGUCUGCCUUGUAAGCGCUAGGCCGCGGGUUCGAUUCCCGCCAGGGGCG
rfam:Asian citrus Psyllid, Diaphorina citri - Florida Strain, whole genome shotgun sequence.